GAUGAACGCUGGCGGCGUGCUUAACACAUGCAAGUCGAACGAAGCGCUUAAGAUUGAUUCUUCGGAUGACGUCUUUUGUGACUUAGUGGCGGACGGGUGAGUAACGCGUGGGUAACCUGCCUCACACAGGGGGAUAACAGUUAGAAAUGACUGCUAAUACCGCAUAACCCGAUAGGAUCGCAUGAUCCAGACGGAAAAGAUUUAUCGGUGUGAGAUGGACCCGCGUCUGAUUAGCUAGUUGGUGAGGUAACGGCCCACCAAGGCGACGAUCAGUAGCCGGCCUGAGAGGGUGAACGGCGACAUUGGGACUGAGACACGGCCCAAACUCCUACGGGAGGCAGCAGUGGGGAAUAUUGCACAAUGGGGGAAACCCUGAUGCAGCGACGCCGCGUGAGUGAAGAAGUAUUUCGGUAUGUAAAGCUCUAUCAGCAGGGAAGAAAAUGACGGUACCUGACUAAGAAGCCCCGGCUAACUACGUG
rnacentral:rRNA from 1 species